rnacentral:rRNA from 1 species
GUACACGCUGUGACUAGCAUAUCAAUAAGCGGAGGAAAAGAAACUAACAAGGAUUCCCCUAGUAACGGCGAGUGAAGCGGGAAGAGCUCAAAUUUGAAAUCUUAAAGGGUUUCCCUUUACGAAUUGUAGUUUAAAGAAGUGUUUUCUGUUGAGGUUUUGGUAAAAGUUCUUUGGAAUAGGACAUCAUAGAGGGUGAGAAUCCCGUAUUUGACCUUUACUUUCAACUUUGUGAUACACUUUCAAAGAGUCGGAUUGUUUGGGAAUGCAGUCCAAAAUGGGUGGUAAAUUUCAUCUAAAGCUAAAUAUUGGCGAGAGACCGAUAGCGAACAAGUACCGUGAGGGAAGGAUGAAAAGAACUUUGAAAAGAGAGUUAAACAGUACGUGAAAUUGUCAAAAGGGAAGCGUUUGACACCAGUGUUGUUUUUCUGAAAAUCAAUUAAAGAACUGUUUAUGCUAAGCUGUUUAGACUUUAUCAGCUAACUGUUUAGUUUUGAGCUUUUCUUUAAUGCACUUUUCAGUUAACAAGUCAACAUCAAUUUCUUUUGCUGUAAAAAAGCUUGAGGAAGGUGGCUUGAGAUUCGUCUUAAGUGUUUAUAGCCUCUUGCCUAUGCAGUCGGAGAGAUUGAGGUCUGCAGCGUAGAUCCUUCGGGGCUAAAUGCAUUUGUGCUAAGUUAUAGCAUUUUAUAGACAACUUGUUGACUAUGAUUUGUCUUGUAGCUUACUCGCUUAUGUUAUUUUACCUACGCUUAGGAUGUUGACGCGCGUGUGUGCGUG